rnacentral:rRNA from 1 species
CCUACGGGAGGCAGCAGUGAGGAAUAUUGGUCAAUGGGCGCGAGCCUGAACCAGCCAAGUAGCGUGAAGGAUGACGGUCCUAUGGAUUGUAAACCUCUUUUGUCAGGGAGCAAAGGGCGCCACGUGUGGCGUUUUGCGAGUACCUGAAGAAAAAGCAUCGGCUAACUCCGUGCCAGCAGCCGCGGUAAUACGGAGGAUGCGAGCGUUAUCCGGAUUUAUUGGGUUUAAAGGGUGCGCAGGCGGAAUGUCAAGUCAGCGGUAAAAUUUCGGGGCUCAACCCCGUCGUGCCGUUGAAACUGGCGUUCUUGAGUGAGCGAGAAGUAUGCGGAAUGCGUGGUGUAGCGGUGAAAUGCAUAGAUAUCACGCAGAACUCCGAUUGCGAAGGCAGCAUACCGGCGCUCAACUGACGCUCAUGCACGAAAGCGUGGGUAUCGAACAGGAUUAGAUACCCUUGUAGUC